UUGCUCACUUCAGCAGUACAUGUAUUAAAAGUGAAAAAAUGCAGAAAAAAUUAGCAUGGGCCCUGGGAAAAGAUGAUACUCAAAUUUGUGAAGCAUUCCAUAUUUUU
ensembl:snRNA U6 U6 spliceosomal RNA